rfam:Alteromonas australica strain H 17, complete genome.
UUUUAUACCAAGGGGUGUCCGUUUUACGGUCUGAGAUCCACAUCAAGUGGGAACCCUUACACCUGAUCCGGAUAAUACCGGCGUAGGGAUGGUCGACAAUACAGCC